UUACUCGAACCGUCCUGACCGCGUAGCUCAGUUGGAAGAGCAUUGGGCUAGUAUUCCAAAGGUCGUAGGUUCGAAUCCCACCGUGGCCGGGCAUAUUUUUCAAGCUCGCCCGGUGUGGAUAUGCACUCAGAGUAACAUCCCAAAACAUAUUAUUCACCUGAGUAAACAAAACACCAGCACAGAAAAAAAAUUCAUAUUACAAGAACACAUUGGUAUUGAAGGAACUAGAUACUGUUCCGAAAUAUCACUUACUCGAACCGCCCUGACCGCGUAGCUCAGUUGGAAGAGCAUUGGGCUAGUAUUCCAAAGGUCAUAGGUUCGAAUCCCACCGUGGCCGGCCAUAUUUUCAAGCUCGCCCGGUGUGGAUAUGCACUCAGAGUAACAUGGCAAACAUAUUAUUCACCUGAGUACACAACACCAAC
rnacentral:tRNA from 1 species